rnacentral:rRNA from 1 species
CGUGUAGGUGGCUAGUUAAGUCGGGUGUGAAAGCCCUGGGCUCAACCGAGGAAGUGCAUUCGAAACUAGCUGGCUAGAAGAUAGUAGAGGAAGGUGGAAUUCCAAGUGUAGAGGUGAAAUUCGUAGAUAUUUGGAGGAAUACCGGCGGCGAAGGCGGCCUUCUGGGCUAUUCUUGACACUGAGACGCGAAAGCGUGGGGAGCAAACA